GGGGCUGAUUCUGGAUUCGACGGGAUUCGCGAAACCCAAGGUGCAUGCCGAGGGGCGGUUGGCCUCGUAAAAAGCCGCAAAAAAAUAGUCGCAAACGACGAAAACUACGCUUUAGCAGCUUAAUAACCUGCUUAGAGCCCUCUCUCCCUAGCCUCCGCUCUUAGGACGGGGAUCAAGAGAGGUCAAACCCAAAAGAGAUCGCGUGGAUGCCCUGCCUGGGGUUGAAGCGUUAAAACUAAUCAGGCUAGUCUGGUAGUGGCGUGUCCGUCCGCAGCUGCCAGGCGAAUGUAAAGACCGGACUAAGCAUGUAGUACCGAGGAUGUAGGAAUUUCGGACGCGGGUUCAACUCCCGCCAGCUCCACCA
rnacentral:tmRNA from 21 species